UAUUAAAAAUCCAGGGUGCAUGUAAGUUCGCCGAGACUCCCCGCUUCCGAGUCACGAUGUUCCAGGGAGAAGGCAUUUGUGCUGGCUGUUUCCUAGUAGUAGUUCCCAGAAAAAGGCCUUGCAAAGUGCACUUCCUUGGAGAGAAUGAUGGGUGUUUCACACUGAAGGCACAUGUGUGUGCGUGUGUCUGGCUCUGGCUUGGGUGUCACCUUCCCUAAAACAAGGCAGCCUCUUAUGUUCACACCUGCACCAGCUAGAGAGACAGUGCGAGGGAAGGGGUCACUUGUUGCUGCUUUCUGGAGACGCAGUCCCAAGCGGUCUGAGCACAGCACAUUCUAAGUGAUGAGCACGCAGUAGUAAGUUACUAACCUAAGGUACAGGUGCUUUUUAAGUCCUUAGUAUUCUUGAAAACAGAGGAACUAUAUUCUUUUCCUUAUUCUUCUUGCUGGAUACAUCUUUUGGGUUCUAAGAAAUAUUCAUUUAUAAUAUUUCUAGUCCUAGCCUAGAAGUUGCAAGUUUGUUUCAUUUGGAACCAUACAUUUCCUGGAGCGCAUUUAAGGGCAGAGGGAAGUUACCCAGAAACCCAGCAAUUUACCUGGUGUGUCAAGGAAAUGUGCGUUUGAAUGAUGCCAGCUACUGAAUAUUAAUAGUCUAAUUGUAUCUGAUAGUCAUUUUCAGUAAUUUGCUUGUUUUGUUUCUUGAUACUGGCCAUGGGCAGUUCAUGUUGGGAAGGCCAUAUGCCAUAAAGCCUGAAGUGGCCCAAGAGAUUUCCAGAAGUUCCUUUUGAAAAGGGUUGCCUUUAUGAUCUUCAUUUCUUACUCCAUUUCUUCCCUCAGACCCUCCUUAAGUUGGGAAAUUGAUAAGGCCUUCUUGGGAAGAUGAGCUCAAAGGAAAGAAUUAGUACGCGGUAAAGUACUUCAAGAAAGAGAGGAUCAGAACCCAUGUUCUACAGUAGCGUAUCGUGGGCUGAGUUGGGGAUCAAUGUUCGAAAACUGGCGUGUGUCGUGGCUCGUGGCUCUGACUCAAUAGCCAUAACCACUUAGGAAGUCCGUUUAUUCACACAUCAAAUAUUGGAAUGGUAAUUCCUGUUUUUAGGAGAUGUUGUUGGGGGUCUAAUCUGAUCACAGAGUAGCAUGCACACGAGCGCUUCCGAGCCUCUUGGUGGAAGCUGAGGGAAUCUUAGGGAUGACAGUCCCCACCUUUAUCAUUCUGGUAAAGGUGUGUGAUGAAGUCCCCCAGCUCAGCCCCCAGCUCAUCUACCCAAACCUGGCAAGCUUUCAGAGGUUCCUUAUCUGAGUAAGAAAUUCAAAGGUGGUCUGGAAUCCCAACCUGUAAUGUGGAAUGAAGCAAGAUUGCUAUGGUAGAGUCCUGACUUUACUCAGACUCUCUACACUGGCCCCUGAGAAGAUCUGUAGACUCCAAAGGUUCCAAGACCAUAGUUUGAAAACCACUGUUCUAUGGUAAGAGGAUGAUUACUUGGAUGGAUGCAGCUCUAGAUCCUAUGUAGAUAGGGAGUCAGAAAUGGAGAAAGCAGAAAUUGUCACACUUGACAUUGAUCAAGAAGGCCCUCGAUUGGGGCGGCAAGUUAGGUAUUCCACAUGGAUGAGACACUUGAGGAAUGUAGUGAAGGUUGGUUGUAUCCACUGCUCAGAAAGGGAAGGGGGUUGAUAGGAAUAUGGAAAAGUGGGCCAUGUGGCCUGGAGGCCUGAGUGGUCCUAGCUCAAGUGCGGCGGAGGGUCGGAUCUGUGUGUGCCCGCAAUUCUAUAGGGUUGUGUAGGGUGUACGGUUAUAUGGAAAUUAUGCCCAUCGGGGUGUGUACCAUACCUGGAGAAGGACUUUAAUUUGUCACAUGGGUAUUUUUUAUUUGAUUUUGCGUGGCUUACCUCAUAAAGCCUUAUCUUGACAUAGUCCAAGUUUUUAAGGUCCAACUUGGGGCCUCUGUAUCCUUUAACUUUCUACUUUACUACUGUGCAAAAAAAGGUAACUUUGUCUAACUUACAAGUGCGUUGGGGAAAAAAGUUUCUUUCUAAAACUUUGUAGUUUGCCAGGAAGAUUAUCCCAGAGCCUAGCAUUGACCAUGACUUUCAAAUUGUAGGUUCCAGGUGGCUUCAGUUGACUCCUCUGUCAGUUGUGGUGGGGCUGAGCACACACCUCUGGCAGUAAUGGGAGGGGCCUGGGAUAAUCAAUGCCGCCACCAAACCAGUGUUCCAAAUCUAGCUCCUGCUGGAUAAGCUCUUGUUUCCCUGCCAGGGUCUCUUUCCCAGCAGUGGCCACUGGGUAGAACUGGUGGGACAUCCAAAGUGCAUGGGGGGGUGAAGUGACAGUGGGAUGGUCAGCCAGUCAGCAUCACCCAGGAUGUCACUAAGCACGUGGUUCUUCACAAAAUUCAACAAUUUUUUUUGCAACCAAAUAGAAUUUCCUUUUGAGUCCAUCUUUGUUCACGGUGCAAAUCUCACCCAGACUCUUCCCAAUCCUUCCCUCAAGGUGGACUUCCUGAGACCCCAUGUUGCCCCACCUUUGCUUACCAUCUGCUUCGUUUGCUUGUGGCUUUUCUUGUUAUGAUAUUGAUACCACGAGAAGAGGGCCUGAACCUUGGCAAGAAUGAGUAAGGCCUACAGGCCUGAAAUCAUGUACCUUACACAUCGGCUUCCUGUUGACUAUACUCGCUCACUCACCUUCCUGGGCAUUUAGUGGAGAUGAAGAAAUCCCAACUAAAGUAGUUUUACCAGUCCUUUCCCUCUGGUGUGAGAUGAAGCGAUAUUGUGCUCUUCGUGCUAACAUCGGAAAAUCACCCCUUUGUGGAGGAAAUCUGAUACUUUGAGAGCAGAGAGACCGCCUCAUUCCCUCCUAGCCUUUUCCUCCAGCAGGAGAAGAAAAAUGAACUUGUUAAGGCCAGGGGUUGAAAUCUGCGGGAAUUCCCUUCAAGGGAAGUGGAAGUGGAAUCAUAGACUUGUACAACUGAGGGGACAGAAGGGGGAAAUUCACAGUUGCAAGAUGGAUGGUCAAAGAAAUCAUCUUGUAAUUCCUGCCAAGUGAACCAAAACGUUUUCUUGCUCUUCGGGGGCAACAUCACUGAAGGCCAAGAGUUACCAGAAAUGCAAUGGACAAUUGUGUGUGAGUAAAACUGCAGGAGAAACAGAAAA